rnacentral:rRNA from 1 species
UCGGGGUACUCGAGUGGCGAACGGGUGAGUAACACGUGGGUGAUCUGCCCUGCACUUUGGGAUAAGCCUGGGAAACUGGGUCUAAUACCGAAUAGGACCACGCGCUUCAUGGUGUGUGGUGGAAAGCUUUUGCGGUGUGGGAUGGGCCCGCGGCCUAUCAGCUUGUUGGUGGGGUAAUGGCCUACCAAGGCGACGACGGGUAGCCGGCCUGAGAGGGUGACCGGCCACACUGGGACUGAGAUACGGCCCAGACUCCUACGGGAGGCAGCAGUGGGGAAUAUUGCACAAUGGGCGCAAGCCUGAUGCAGCGACGCCGCGUGAGGGAUGACGGCCUUUCGGGUUGUAAACCUCUUUCAAUAGGGACGAAGCGUGAGUGACGGUACCUAUAGAAGAAGCACCGGCCAACUACGUGCCAGCAGCCGCGGUAAUACGUAGGGUGCGAGCGUUGUCCGGAAUUACUGGGCGUAAAGAGCUCGUAGGUGGUUUGUCGCGUUGUUCGUGAAAACUCACAGCUUAACUGUGGGCGUGCGGGCGAUACGGGCAGACUAGAGUACUGCAGGGGAGACUGGAAUUCCUGGUGUAGCGGUGGAAUGCGCAGAUAUCAGGAGGAACACCGGUGGCGAAGGCGGGUCUCUGGGCAGUAACUGACGCUGAGGAGCGAAAGCGUGGGGAGCGAACAGGAUUAGAUACCCUGGUAGUCCACGCCGUAAACGGUGGGUACUAGGUGUGGGUUCCUUCCUUGGGAUCCGUGCCGUAGCUAACGCAUUAAGUACCCCGCCUGGGGAGUACGGCCGCAAGGCUAAAACUCAAAGGAAUUGACGGGGGCCCGCACAAGCGGCGGAGCAUGUGGAUUAAUUCGAUGCAACGCGAAGAACCUUACCUGGGUUUGACAUGCACAGGACGCCGGCAGAGAUGUCGGUUCCCUUGUGGCCUGUGUGCAGGUGGUGCAUGGCUGUCGUCAGCUCGUGUCGUGAGAUGUUGGGUUAAGUCCCGCAACGAGCGCAACCCUUGUCCUAUGUUGCCAGCGGGUUAUGCCGGGGACUCGUAGGAGACUGCCGGGGUCAACUCGGAGGAAGGUGGGGAUGACGUCAAGUCAUCAUGCCCCUUAUGUCCAGGGCUUCACACAUGCUACAAUGGCCGGUACAAAGGGCUGCGAUGCCGUGAGGUGGAGCGAAUCCUUUCAAAGCCGGUCUCAGUUCGGAUCGGGGUCUGCAACUCGACCCCGUGAAGUCGGAGUCGCUAGUAAUCGCAGAUCAGCAACGCUGCGGUGAAUACGUUCCCGGGCCUUGUACACACCGCCCGUCACGUCAUGAAAGUCGGUAACACCCGAAGCC